rnacentral:rRNA from 1 species
GACGAACGCUGGCGGCGUGCUUAACACAUGCAAGUCGAACGGAAAGGCCCUGCUUUUGUGGGGUGCUCGAGUGGCGAACGGGUGAGUAACACGUGAGUAACCUGCCCUUGACUUUGGGAUAACUUCAGGAAACUGGGGCUAAUACCGGAUAGGAGCUCCUGCUGCAUGGUGGGGGUUGGAAAGUUUCGGCGGUUGGGGAUGGACUCGCGGCUUAUCAGCUUGUUGGUGGGGUAGUGGCUUACCAAGGCUUUGACGGGUAGCUGGCCUGAGAGGGUGGCCGGCCACAUUGGGACUGAGAUACGGCCCAGACUCCUACGGGAGGCAGCAGUGGGGAAUAUUGCACAAUGGGCGGAAGCCUGAUGCAGCAACGCCGCGUGCGGGAUGACGGCCUUCGGGUUGUAAACCGCUUUCGCCUGUGACGAAGCGUGAGUGAUGGUAAUGGGUAAAGAAGCACCGGCUAACUACGUG